rnacentral:lncRNA from 10 species
GAUUAAUGGAUUUUAUGGUGAUGGGUUUUAUGGGGAGAAUUACCAGUUAUUUAGUAGCUUGUAAGCUUGUGUCCUAAGAUGUCCCUGUCAAUUACUGCAUCAGGUAACACAGGGCGUGGCACUUAGAUUCUCAUUGGUAUUUGUUCAGUGACAGAAGCUGUCCUCUAUUGCUUUCGAGUCUCUAAGACUGUUUUCCCCAUCUUGAAUGUGCCUAGUCAUCUGACCUCCUCUCAAAUGGGCACCAACUUCAUUCUCUCUGUAUAAUAAGGGACCUUGUAUGGGGCUUUCCUAGUUUUUUUCAGAACAUGCUUGAGGACCAUUUAGGGAAGCAGGGUCUUAGAGGACAUUCAGUCUUGUCUUGGAAACAGUGGGGAAGGAAGAACUCUGUAGCAGUUGCUAGGGGUAAUAUUAUAUCUUUAAGAAAACAAUGCUGUCACUAAGUUACUUUUAGACAUGGAAGGCUUCUCUUUAAUUUUUUUUUCUUUUUUAGUGGAUGAUUAUGUAGCUAGACUACCAAGAGGUAGGGAGUGAAGUAAAGCUGAGAACAGCCUCUCCAGGAUUAUCAGGUUAGGGUGAAGUUCUUGGCAAGAGACUGGAUUUAGUGUGGUAUUCUGGAAAGCACAUGGGCUGAGGAGGCAGGAGACCUUUAUUCUAAUUUUGGUUCUCUGUUCUUGUUUCUAACUGUGGCAAACCAUUUAACUUUUGUGAGUCUCAGACUAGAUUUAUUAAAUGAGGAAUCUGACUCAAAGAUCCUUUCUAACUUUAAAAUUCUGUGUCUGACCAGAGGACCAGGGUAGAACAAGGAGGUUUCUACUCAAUAGCAUUUUUAUUUUUAAUUUCAUUUUGUAAAGUCAAGAGGAAUAAACCAUUUAUCUUACUGCUUUGAACAGGAGGAUUAGAAGAAGGAAUCAUAUAUGGCUCACAUGUUUAUGUUCUGACUUCGUAUUAGGAAAAUACUAAUGUCCGUCAGUCAACAAAUACUUGCAGAAUGCUAGUGUAAACAGCAUUGUGCCUGGUAUUGUGGACUCUCCAGAGAUGUGCAUCACCUUGUUCCUGCCAUCUGAAGUGUCCUAGACUUCUCAACGAAGAGGAUAUGGACACUAAUCAAGUUAAACAGCAACCUAAAGUAUGUUAAAUAUAGUUAUGAGCUAAGUGAGAGGCAUGGACAAGAAUCAGGUAGCUUUGAGGAAGGAGAAAUCAUUUUUACUUGAAUUAGAGAGUGAUCAAAGAUUUAAUGGAAGCUUGAAUAGGGCAUUAAACAAAUAGUUGGGGUUUGAGUAUAAAAGAGUAAGGCUAUCUGACAUUUAUAAGUAAGGGUGACAGUUAUCACACUUCCUGUGCCGAGCAGCAAUGAAGAAACAACUAAAAAAGAGAAUGCUUGAAGUGUGUGGUGGAAACUUUUCUUCAUCAGUGACUUAUUUGUUCCUUAUUUUCUCCUAAAGUAGAAUUUCAGAAAAGCUUCCACCUAGGACAUGCAGCAGCUAUUUCAGCUACUAUAAGGAUCACUUUAGUAGGAAAUCCUCCCAGACUUUUCACCCAAGUAAAAUUUCAGCAGGAAGACAGGAAUAAGAUACACUGAAAAGUUAUUGUUCAUGACUACAGUUUGAUAAUAAAAGCUUGAUUCAAUCUCAUUGGCAAAAAAAAUUUUUUUUUUUUUGAGAUGGAGUCUCACUAUGUCACCCAGGCUGGAGUGCAGUGCUGCAAUCUGCAACCUCUGCUGCCCAGAUUCAAGGGAUUCUUCUGCCUCAGCCUCCCGAUUAGCUGGGAUUACAGGCGCCUGCCACCGUACCCGGCUAAUUUUUGUAGUUUUUAGUAGAGACGGAGUUUCACCAUCUUGGCCGGGCUGGUCUUAAACUCCUGAACUCCUGACCUUGUGAUCCACUCGCCUUGGCCUCCCAAAGUGCUGGGAUUACAGGCGUGAGCCACAGGGCCUGGCCUCAUUGGCAUAUAUACUAGUGCUCACUGCUGAGUUAUAUCUUGAUUUGAAUCCUAACAUAUAAGGAGAUAUUUCCAAGUUCACUAUUUUUUUACACGUA